rnacentral:lncRNA from 1 species
CUUGCAGCGCCCAGAAAUGGACCGCGCAGACCCGCCGCCGCACGCACCCUACCCCACUCGGCGCUCCUAACAGCUCCCCGCGCGCCUCUCAGCCUCCGCGAGGUCCACGCGGGGGUGCGGAAGCGGAGGGCAUCCAAGAGCCAUGUAGACCCAGGUUCUUGCUCGCCUGCUUCCUUCGGGAUCGAAUCAAGGGCUCCCAUAGUGUUCGGAGGGGGGCGAGAGUGCUGUUUAUCGUCAUUUGCUUCAGAGCUUCGGGAGAGGGUGGCAUUUUGCUUUUCCGCCCCGCAUCCUCCGGAACUCCCUGCACCAGAAGAGAGCACGCCGUCUCCAGGUUGCUGGCAACGGGUCUUCUUUACAUUAUGAGAGAAACCAGAGCAGAUCACCUUUCAGCACAUCUACAACCAUGA